rnacentral:rRNA from 1 species
GACGAACGCUGGCGGCGUGCUUAACACAUGCAAGUCGAACGGUAAGGCCCUUCGGGGUACACGAGUGGCGAACGGGUGAGUAACACGUGGGUGAUCUGCCCUGCACUUCGGGAUAAGCCUGGGAAACUGGGUCUAAUACCGGAUAGGACUCCGGACUGCAUGGUCUGGGGUGGAAAGCUUUUGCGGUGUGGGAUGGGCCCGCGGCCUAUCAGCUUGUUGGUGGGGUGAUGGCCUACCAAGGCGACGACGGGUAGCCGGCCUGAGAGGGUGACCGGCCACACUGGGACUGAGAUACGGCCCAGACUCCUACGGGAGGCAGCAGUGGGGAAUAUUGCACAAUGGGCGCAAGCCUGAUGCAGCGACGCCGCGUGAGGGAUGACGGCCUUCGGGUUGUAAACUGCUCUCAUGUGCGAAGAAUUUGACUGUAACACAUGAAUAAGGAUCGGCUAACUACGUGCCAGCCGCCGCAGUAA